UACACGACCGUACCGCAAACCGACACUGGUGCGCGAGAUGAGUAUUCUAAGGCGCUUGAGAGAACUCAGGAGAAGGAACUCGGCAAAUUGACACCGUAACUUCGGAAGAAGGUGUGCCUUUAGUAGGUGAAGUCCCUCGCGGAUGGAGCCCAAUGAGGUUGCAAAGAAUCGGUGGCUGCGACUGUUUAUUAAAAACACAGCACUCUGCAAACACGAAAGUGGACGUAUAGGGUGUGACGCCUGCCCGGUGCUGGAAGAUUAAAUGAUGGGGUGCAAGCUCUUGAUUGAAGUCCCAGUAAACGGCGGCCGUAACUAUAACGGUCCUAAGGUAGCGAAAUUCCUUGUCGGGUAAGUUCCGACCUGCACGAAUGGCGUAACGAUGGCCACACUGUCUCCUCCUGAGACUCAGCGAAGUUGAAAUGUUUGUGAUGAUGCAAUCUCCCCGCGGAAAGACGGAAAGACCCCAUGAACCUUUACUGUAGCUUUGUAUUGGACUUUGAACAGAUCUGUGUAGGAUAGGUGGGAGGCUUUGAAGCAGGGUCGCUAGAUCUUGUGGAGCCAACGUUGAAAUACCACCCUGGUGUGUUUGAGGUUCUAACCUAGGCCCGUAAUCCGGGUUGGGGACAGUGCAUGGUAGGCAGUUUGACUGGGGCGGUCUCCUCCCAAAGUGUAACGGAGGAGUUCGAAGGUACGCUAGUUACGGUCGGACAUCGUGACGAUAGUGCAAUGGCAUAAGCGUGCUUAACUGCGAGACUGACAAGUCGAGCAGAUGCGAAAGCAGGACAUAGUGAUCCGGUGGUUCUGUAUGGAAGGGCCAUCGCUCAACGGAUAAAAGGUACUCUGGGGAUAACAGGCUGAUACCGCCCAAGAGUUCAUAUCGACGGCGGUGUUUGGCACCUCGAUGUCGGCUCAUCUCAUCCUGGGGCUGUAGCCGGUCCCAAGGGUAUGGCUGUUCGCCAUUUAAAGAGGUACGUGAGCUGGGUUUAAAACGUCGUGAGACAGUUUGGUCCCUAUCUUCCGUGGGCGCUGCAGAUUUGAGGAAGCCUGCUCCUAGUACGAGAGGACCGGAGUGGACGCACCUCUGGUGUAUCGGUUGUCACGCCAGUGGCAUUGCCGAGUAGCUAUGUGCGGAAGAGAUAACCGCUGAAAGCAUCUAAGCGGGAAACUCGUUUCAAGAUGAGAUCUGCCGGGGCCUUGAGCCCCCUGAAGAGUCGUUCAAGACCAGGACGUUGAUAGGUCGGGUGUGGAAGCGCAGUAAUGCGUUAAGCUAACCGAUACUAAUUGCUCGUGCGGCUUGAGC
rnacentral:rRNA from 1 species